rnacentral:rRNA from 1 species
GACGAACGCUGGCGGCGUGCUUAACACAUGCAAGUCGAGCGGUAAGGCCCUUCGGGUACGACGAGCGGCGAACGGGUGAGUAACACGUGGGUGACCUGCCCUCCACUUCGGGAUAAGCCUGGGAAACCGGGUCUAAUACCGGAUAGGACCUCUGGAUGCAUGUCUGGUGGUGGAUAGUCUGUGUCUUGACUGAUGCUGGCGGUGGGGAGU